rnacentral:rRNA from 1 species
AGAUUGAACGCUGGCGGCAGGCCUAACACAUGCAAGUCGAGCGGCAGCACGGGUACUUGUACCUGGUGGCGAGCGGCGGACGGGUGAGUAAUGCCUAGGAAUCUGCCUGAUAGUGGGGGAUAACGUUCGGAAACGACGCUAAUACCGCAUACGUCCUACGGGAGAAAGUGGGGGAUCGUUCGGACCUCACGCUAUCAGAUGAGCCUAGGUCGGAUUAGCUAGUUGGUAGG